rnacentral:rRNA from 1 species
AGAGCGAACGCUGGCGGCAGGCCUAACACAUGCAAGUCGAGCGCCCCGCAAGGGGAGCGGCAGACGGGAGAGUAACACGUGGGAACGUACCCUUUGGUUCGGAACAACACAGGGAAACUUGUGCUAAUACCGGAUAAGCCCUUACGGGGAAAGAUUUAUUGCCAAAGGAUCGGCCCGCGUCUGAUUAGCUUGUUGGUGAGGUAACGGCUCACCAAGGCUACGAUCAGUAGCUGGUCUGAGAGGAUGAUCAGCCUCACUGGGACUGAGACACGGCCCAGACUCCUACGGGAGGCAGCAGUGGGGAAUAUUGGACAAUGGCGCAAGCCUGAUCCAGCCAUGCCGCGUGGAUGAUGAAGGCCCUAGGGUUGUAAAGUCCUUUCGACGGGGAAGAUAAUGACGGUACCCGUAGAAGAGCCCGGCUAACUUCGUGCCAGCAGCCGC